GAAAUUCUACCCCCCAAAUAUGGCACCUUGGCAUGCUGAGUAUUUUAAGCUGAAGGAAACAGAGAAAUCCACAGAAGCAGAAAGGUCUUUCUGACCUCUCUUGAAGACCCUCAUGUGACAGGUGUCCUGCCCUACAUCCAGAGAGGAGGAAUGUUCCACAGACAGACUAAGAAGAAUCUGAAGAAUCAGGACUACUAAGUGCACUCCAGUGGAUGCUGUGGAGCACUACCUCCUUGAGGACCAAGGCACUCCAGCUGCCAGGAAUAUUGGCUGCUAACCUCACACAGCUGAGCCUUCCAUGAAAAUUGCUCCCUGCCAAAGAGAACUUCCUAGUCCAAGGUCAUGUCUACUCUCCAGAGAAAUGCACUGACCCUCCACUCUACAGGACACUAUGCUCAUUCCAAAUGCUAAGAUGUGACUGGAGUGAUUUGCACCCGGAUGCCUAGACUCGCCAUCUGCUCAAAGACUGCUCAGAAAGCCCUCCCAUGCAUUCCCCCGCUGCAUACCAGCCCACUCUGCCUGCAGCUGCUUCAAAUCUGCGCCACACUGUUUAAAAGCUGUGCUUCAAGAAAUCACAAAAACAUUUUCCUGCACCUACUACACAGCCUAAGUGCAGCAUAAGUUGACCUUGCUUGCUAAGAAAUGGGGCAAGAAAUGCUUUUUUGUGUGUGUCAUGUCUGUUUGUUUUUCAAUUAAGAGAGGAAAGCAUUAGGCAGAUGGAAUGUACAUGUGAGGAUGAGGAGACAGAAAACAAGUAGCCCUUUCCAUCAAGAUAGAGGGUUUUCUGGGGUCGCUGGCUCUUGAAUGUCACUCCUGAUUUCUCUUUCCAAGGCACUGUAUCACCAGCCUACUGAGAUUGUGUGGGAGCUUUCAUGGGGGUUGUAUUUCACUAAUGAAAAUAAGUUUUGUGCAUAAUCUGAA